CCUACGGGCGACAGCAGUGGGGAAUAUUGGUCAAUGGGCGCAAGCCUGACCCAGCAACGCCGCGUGAAGGAAGAAGGCUUUCGGGUUGUAAACUUCUUUUCUCAGGGACGAAGCAAGUGACGGUACCUGAGGAAUAAGCCACGGCUAACUACGUGCCAGCAGCCGCUGUAAUACGUAGGUGGCAAGCGUUAUCCGGAUUUACUGGGUGUAAAGGGCGUGUAGGCGGGGACGCAAGGCAGAUGUGAAAACCACGGGGUCAACCUGUGGCCUGCAUUUGAAACUGUGUGUCUUGAGUACUGGAGAGGCAGACGGAAUUCCUAGGGUAGCGGUGAAAUGCGUAGAUAUUAGGAGGAACACCAGUGGCGAAGGCGGUCUGCUGGACAGCAACUGACGCUGAGGCGCGAAAGCGUGGGGAGCAAACAGGAUUAGAUACCCCAGUAGUC
rnacentral:rRNA from 1 species